rnacentral:lncRNA from 1 species
GGGGCUUGACUGCAAGCUGCUCAUCGAGAAGGAUGGAUGCUCCUGAGACCUGCAGUAGACAGAGCCACAAGACACACAGCAUUUGCAGGGAUGUUGUGGGAAUCCCCACAAUCAUACUCACCUGUUCCUGUUAUCUCUGCUUGGAAUUAUUUAAUCCUGCUUUGGCGUUAAGACUGAUUAUUUCUGAGGCAAGAUUAGAGUCCGACUUCAGUUGCAGCAAGGGUGAUUCACUUCAGCCUUCAGAAACUGACAGAAACCUGAGACUUCUGUCGUUCCCGUGAAGAACUGUGAAGAACUUCUAUAUCACGGCUCUUACUGUGCUGCUCACCGUAGUCUCAAACUCAUCUCUGAAACCAUGCUGCCUCUUCACAUCAUGAGAAGCUAAUAUACAGAUGCAAACCACAACACUCAGCUGAUGGGUAUUGUAAAAUACCUCCUUUCUAACAUGCAAUUUUGAGAUUUGAGUGCUGGUGUAAAAAAAUAGAAAAUGUGUAUUUUUUAAAAGUCAGGCUUUGCUGAAAUUAUGUUUAUAUAUAAAUAUGAUUUUAGUGCUUAAUAUUUUCCAUACACAAGAAUUAUUGCCUUUGCAAAACUUAGAAAUGGUUGUAUUUCCUUUAAGCUUUGAAUAUUUAAAAAAUGAAAGUUCUAAGUAUUUACUUUCCAAAAUAAAUGGCCUCACGAAGCCUUCUAGAACAAUGUCCAAUAGAGGUGUCAACAAUUGUCAUCAUUAAAUACUUUUAAAAUUGCAAAUAUACUGAGGCAUUUAAGACCAGCUAAUGCAUUAUUUCCCCUUAAGAUAGUGUUCUUGCAAUUAAUAUUUGAGUGGUUUCCUUCUAAUCAUGAAGGUAGCUAGGGAUUCUCAAAGAUUUUUUAUUUUGUAGUUUAAGAUGAUCACGAGGAUUUUAUCAUUCCUUGUUUUAAUGCAGCUUGUUAAUUGAAAUCUUUGCAUAUCUUAAACCUGUAUAUUUAGAUAAAAUUUCUUCAACAUCAUAAAAAUUCUGACUAUAUAUUAAGUGUUUGGACUCCAUUAAUUAAUUAAUAUAGUUUACAUAUAAUAUUUACAAAUAAUAUAUUUUGAUCACAUUCUUUCUCAUUAUAAAACUUGACUCAGAUACUCCCUACCUCUUUACCAACAUAAUUUCAUGUAUCCUUGUUCAUAUGCAAGGUCUCUUUUUCUUAUGUCUGUCUUUCUCUCCCUCUUAAACAAUAACUAAAAAUGAAGAAAUGAAAUGAAAUAAAAGAAAGUAAGGAAAUAAGGAAGGAAGAAAAACUAAAGACUGAGCCAUCUCAACAUCAAAAAACAAGGCAGUAAUAAUAAAAAAAGAAGAAGCAAAUUUCCCAAAAGAAAAAUGAAACAAGAAGAGAUCAAUUUUGCUGUCUCUGUAAAUGAGGGCUGUUCAGAAGUGUGAUUAAUAUAACAAUAUAACUGCUGAUAUUUAAUUGUUUAAAACAAAACAAACAAAACAAAAUCCUAAUUUGUUUCCUUCUCCACAGAUAUCAGUUGCAAAUACCUUCUUGGGCAAGGGUCCUUCUUUAUGUCUACUUUCCCUUCCCAUGCUGGUAUUUUUGUCUGAUUUGAGCUUGUUCAGACCAUGUUUGGGCUGCCAGUCUCAGUGCCUACCUAUGUCUGACAGUAAACUUGUUUUUGC